rnacentral:rRNA from 1 species
UGGCGGCGUGCCUAAUACAUGCAAGUUGAGCGAUGAAGAUUGGUGCUUGCACCAAUUUGAAGAGCAGCGAACGGGUGAGUAACGCGUGGGGAAUCUGCCUUUGAGCGGGGGACAACAUUUGGAAACGAAUGCUAAUACCGCAUAACAACUUUAAACAUAAGUUUUAAGUUUGAAAGAUGCAAUUGCAUCACUCAAAGAUGAUCCCGCGUUGUAUUAGCUAGUUGGUGAGGUAAAGGCUCACCAAGGCGAUGAUACAUAGCCGACCUGAGAGGGUGAUCGGCCACAUUGGGACUGAGACACGGCCCAAACUCCUACGGGAGGCAGCAGUAGGGAAUCUUCGGCAAUGGACGAAAGUCUGACCGAGCAACGCCGCGUGAGUGAAGAAGGUUUUCGGAUCGUAAAACUCUGUUGGUAGAGAAGAACGUUGGUGAGAGUGGAAAGCUCAUCAAGUGACGGUAACUACCCAGAAAGGGACGGCUAACUACGUGCCAGCAGCCGCGGUAAUACGUAGGUCCCGAGCGUUGUCCGGAUUUAUUGGGCGUAAAGCGAGCGCAGGUGGUUUAUUAAGUCUGGUGUAAAAGGCAGUGGCUCAACCAUUGUAUGCAUUGGAAACUGGUAGACUUGAGUGCAGGAGAGGAGAGUGGAAUUCCAUGUGUAGCGGUGAAAUGCGUAGAUAUAUGGAGGAACACCGGUGGCGAAAGCGGCUCUCUGGCCUGUAACUGACACUGAGGCUCGAAA